GUUUAAUUCGUCAGUUACUCCGAUAUGCUGCGUAUUUGUCUCAUGAUGCUGUUUCGUUUUAAAGUGGAGUUUUACUUUCUAUUCUAAGACACGUAACAGUACCUCAUCCACGUCAUCCGACUCGAGUCUCCUGCUGAAUGAAGAGAUUUAUCCUCAAGCCCGCUCACAGGGAUACGGAUUCUAUUACAAGAAUCACUCCUUCUAAUGAUGAUCAAUAAGCUAUGCCUCAUAAACAGAGGACGAAGAAAACUGCUACCGCGAAGACCGCUCAAGUUGGAACAGAAUCAAGGCCUACUUCUACCGAAGAACCGCGGACUCAGGUACAAUACACCACCGGUGAAACAGAAAAGGAGACUGCGGCAGCAUCGGCCAUUUCUAAAGGGAAAGAUCAACGAGAACUGGGCAAGCGUAAAGGAACGAGCAUGCGCAAAAGAGAACAACCAGAACUACAAAUCCCAGCAACGACUGAAACCGACAGUGAAAGUGAGUCUGAGAGAGAGACAGACUCUCUGGAAAAAAUCAGAUGAAGAUGGAGAAGAUGAAAGUUCCUCUGAAAGUACAAAAAAGACUUUGAGGCAAAUAAUGCAUAAAUUAGAAAAAUUAAAUGCAUUAAAAGUAAUUAAAAGUGGGACUAGGUGAGAGUAAGCGUUCGGCACAGACUAGAAGGGCCAAGAUUGCCUGUUUCCGUGCUGUAGAUGUUACAUGGUUAUAUGGUUAGGAGAGCCAGGAGGGUCCUUGGUGGGCAGGAUUAAGGAAUACCCCAAGGCAUUCUACAAUGUGAAGAGCAGGAGGAUAAGACAUGAAAGAAUAGGACCUAUCAAAUGUGACAGUGGGAAAGUGUAUAUGGAAAUGGAGGAAAUAGCAGAGGUACUUAAUGACUACUUCUGUAUUCACUAUGGAAAAUGCUCUUGGUGAUAGUGACGCCUUGCAGCAGAUUGAAAAGUUUGAGCAUGUAGAUAUUAAGAAAAAAGAUGUGCUGGAGCUUUUGGAAAGCACCAAGUUGGAUAUGUACCUGCAUGCCAACUUUUUGUGAUUCAUGCACAAGCACUCCCAAGUCCCUCUGCACAACAACAAGCUGCAAUCUUUCACUAUUUAAAUAAUAAUUUGCUCUUCUAUCAUUCCUUCCAAAGUACAUGAUCUCACAUUUACAAACGUUGUAUUCCAUCUGCCAGAACUUGGCCCACUCACUUAACCUAUCUAUAUCCCUCUGCAGACUCUCCACAUCCUCUGUACAAUUUGCUUUUCCACUUAUUUUAGUGUCAUCAGCAAAUUUUGCUAUGCUACGCUCAGUCCCCUCUUCCAAAUCAUCAAUAUAAAUGGUAAACAGCUGCGGUCCCAGCACCGACCCCUGUGGCACCCCACUCACCACAGACUGCCAACCGGAGAAAUACCCAUUUAUACCAACUCUCUGCCUUCUAUUGUUAUGAAUUCACUAUCCAUGCCAAUACAUUUCCUUCGACUCCGUGUAUCCGUAUCUUAUUUAUAAGUCUCUUGUGCUGCACCUUAUCAAAUGCCUUCUGGAAAUCCAAGUUUAUGCCAUCCAUCUGUUCCCCUCUAUCCAUUACACUCAUUAUGUCCUCAAAGAACUCCAAAAAGUUUGUCAAACAGGACCUGCCCUUUCUGAAUCCAUGCUGCGUCUGUCUAAUGGAAUCACUCCUUUCUAAAUGUUCCUCUACUUCUUCCUUAAUGAUAGCUUCAAGCAUUUUCCUGACUACAGAGUUAGCUGACUACAGCUAACUGGCCUAUAGUUACCAGGCUUUUCUUUUAAAAAGUGGCGUGACAUUUCCUGCCUUCCAAUCCACCGGGACCUGCCCAGAGUCUGGAGAGUUUUGACAAAUGAUUGCCAGUAUGUCUACUAUAACCUCCGCCAAUUCCUUCAGUACUCUGGGAUGCAUCCCAUCAGGACCAGGAGACUUACCUACCUUCAGGCCCUCUAAUUUAGACAAUAGGUGUAAAAGUAGACUAUUCAGCCUUUCGAGCCUGCACCGCCAUUCUGAGAUCAUGGCUGAUCAUCUGCUAUCAAUCCCCGGUUUCUGCCUUGUCCCCAUAUCCCUUGAUUCCCUUAUCCAUAAGAUACCUAUCUAGCUCCUUCUUGAAAGCAUCCAGAGAACUGGCCUCCACUGCCUUCUGAGGCAGUGCAUUCCACACCCCCAGAACUCUCUGGGAGAAGAAGUUUUUCCUUAACUCUGUCCUAAAUGACCUACCCCUUAUUCUCAAACCAUGCCCUCUGGUACUGGACUCUCCCAGCAUCUGGAACAUAUUUCCUGCCUCGAUCUUGUCCAAUCCCUUAAUAAUCUUAUAUGUUUCAAUCAGAUCCCCUCUCAAUCUCCUUAAUUCCAGCGUGUACAAGCCCAGUCUCUCUAACCUUUCUGCGUAAGACAGUCCUGACA